rnacentral:rRNA from 1 species
UGGGAAUAUUGGACAAUGGGCGGAAGCCUGAUCCAGCAACGCCGCGUGAGGGAUGACGGCCUUCGGGUUGUAAACCUCUUUCAGUACCGACGAAGCGAAAGUGACGGUAGGUACAGAAGAAGCACCGGCCAACUACGUGCCAGCAGCCGCGGUAAUACGUAGGGUGCGAGCGUUGUCCGGAAUUAUUGGGCGUAAAGGGCUCGUAGGCGGUUUGUCACGUCGGGAGUGAAAACACUGGGCUUAACUCAGUGCUUGCUUUCGAUACGGGCAGACUAGAGGCAUGCAGGGAGAACGGAAUUCCUGGUGUAGCGGUGAAAUGCGCAGAUAUCAGGAGGAACACCGGUGGCGAAGGCGGUUCUCUGGGCAUGUCCUGACGCUGAGGAGCGAAAGUGUGGGGAGCGAACAGGAUUAGAUACCCUGGUAGUCCACACCGUAAAACGUUGGGCGCUAGGUGUGGGGCCUAUUCCAUGGGUUCCGUGCCGCAGCUAACGCAUUAAGCGCCCCGCCUGGGGAGUACGGCCGCAAGGCUAAAACUCAAAUGAAUUGACGGGGUCAUAGCUGUUUCCU